CCCUGUCGUUUUACUCUCUCUUUCUCUCAUUUCUUUUUUUCUUUUCCUUCUCUCGAUCGAGAGACCUAAAUCCCUCUGGUCGCAACACUUAAGAGACCCUGAUGAAGGUCCAAAGGUUAUCUAAACACCCUAUUACCCAUUUUUCAGAACGAACUAACCAUUACUUUAUUAUUUCAACCCUCUCACGCUCUUUGAAAAACCCAAAAAUCAAGAACGGAAACUACCUUAUAUGAUUGGGCGCUCUAUCGGCUCCGACGACAUGGAAUUCUUCAAGCUCGAGAGUUGGCUGAGGUGACAACGGUUGACGGCAUUGCAGGAACGGGCAGUAGUGGCAAUGACAGGACUGCCAGUGGCGGCGCAGCUAUUCGACAGUGGCAGCAGGGCUAGCCAGCGGCGGCGCAUCCAUCCUAAGGGUUAUGAUGAAACAAUAGGACUCCAUCUCAUCUGGGUUGUUGGAUCAAGGGCCGAUCCAAUGACCGAAAUCACCUAACGGCUGGGGUGAGAAUACGAAACCCUAAUUACUGGGUUGGCAGAUUGGGCCAAUUCUUUGGGCCUGGUUACUUGUCUUUGGGCCAUAGCUGGGUCUUGGCCUGUUUGUGUGUCAUGGGUUGGUCUUGUAAUAUUGGGCCCAUUUUUUUGGGUUGCAUUUGGACCCUUUUGUUGUAACCUAAAAAUAAAAUAAAAAAUAAAUAAGUAUAAAUAUUAUAA